UGUGGCCUAUGAUGUUCAAGUUUUUGCCUACAUUGUCUGAUUCUAUUAUCGAUGAAGAGGAAUCUAAAGCUAUUCUGAGGCCCGU